rfam:Dipodomys ordii contig_13153, whole genome shotgun sequence.
GGGAAUGUGGCUUAGUGGUACAGUGCUUGCCUAGCAUGCAAGAAGCCUUGGGUUCAAUUCCUAGGUAUCACA